ACUUAAAUUGAAGAGUUUGAUCAUGGCUCAGAUUGAACGCUGGCGGCAGGCCUAACACAUGCAAGUCGAGCGGUAGCACAGAGAGCUUGCUCUCGGGUGACGAGCGGCGGACGGGUGAGUAAUGUCUGGGAAACUGCCUGAUGGAGGGGGAUAACUACUGGAAACGGUAGCUAAUACCGCAUAAUGUCGCAAGACCAAAGUGGGGGACCUUCGGGCCUCAUGCCAUCAGAUGUGCCCAGAUGGGAUUAGCUAGUAGGUGGGGUAACGGCUCACCUAGGCGACGAUCCCUAGCUGGUCUGAGAGGAUGACCAGCCACACUGGAACUGAGACACGGUCCAGACUCCUACGGGAGGCAGCAGUGGGGAAUAUUGCACAAUGGGCGCAAGCCUGAUGCAGCCAUGCCGCGUGUGUGAAGAAGGCCUUCGGGUUGUAAAGCACUUUCAGCGGGGAGGAAGGCGGUGAGGUUAAUAACCUCAUCGAUUGACGUUACCCGCAGAAGAAGCACCGGCUAACUCCGUGCCAGCAGCCGCGGUAAUACGGAGGGUGCAAGCGUUAAUCGGAAUUACUGGGCGUAAAGCGCACGCAGGCGGUCUGUCAAGUCGGAUGUGAAAUCCCCGGGCUCAACCUGGGAACUGCAUUCGAAACUGGCAGGCUAGAGUCUUGUAGAGGGGGGUAGAAUUCCAGGUGUAGCGGUGAAAUGCGUAGAGAUCUGGAGGAAUACCGGUGGCGAAGGCGGCCCCCUGGACAAAGACUGACGCUCAGGUGCGAAAGCGUGGGGAGCAAACAGGAUUAGAUACCCUGGUAGUCCACGCCGUAAACGAUGUCGAUUUGGAGGUUGUGCCCUUGAGGCGUGGCUUCCGGAGCUAACGCGUUAAAUCGACCGCCUGGGGAGUACGGCCGCAAGGUUAAAACUCAAAUGAAUUGACGGGGGCCCGCACAAGCGGUGGAGCAUGUGGUUUAAUUCGAUGCAACGCGAAGAACCUUACCUGGUCUUGACAUCCACAGAACUUAGCAGAGAUGCUUUGGUGCCUUCGGGAACUGUGAGACAGGUGCUGCAUGGCUGUCGUCAGCUCGUGUUGUGAAAUGUUGGGUUAAGUCCCGCAACGAGCGCAACCCUUAUCCUUUGUUGCCAGCGGUUAGGCCGGGAACUCAAAGGAGACUGCCAGUGAUAAACUGGAGGAAGGUGGGGAUGACGUCAAGUCAUCAUGGCCCUUACGACCAGGGCUACACACGUGCUACAAUGGCAUAUACAAAGAGAAGCGACCUCGCGAGAGCAAGCGGACCUCAUAAAGUAUGUCGUAGUCCGGAUUGGAGUCUGCAACUCGACUCCAUGAAGUCGGAAUCGCUAGUAAUCGUAGAUCAGAAUGCUACGGUGAAUACGUUCCCGGGCCUUGUACACACCGCCCGUCACACCAUGGGAGUGGGUUGCAAAAGAAGUAGGUAGCUUAACCUUCGGGAGGGCGCUUACCACUUUGUGAUUCAUGACUGGGGUGAAGUCGUAACAAGGUAACCGUAGGGGAACCUGCGGUUGGAUCACCUCCUUACCUUAAAGAA
rnacentral:rRNA from 2 species